CUUGGUCAUUUAGAGGAAGUAAAAGUCGUAACAAGGUUUCCGUAGGUGAACCUGCGGAAGGAUCAUUAUUGAUUGGUCGAAAGACCUUAUCAGAUUCUACCACCUCUGUGAACCGUUGACCUCCGGGUUAAUAAUCAAACAUCAGUGUAACGAACGUAAGAGUAUCUUAAUUAAACAAAACUUUUAACAACGGAUCUCUUGGCUCUCGCAUCGAUGAAGGACGCAGCGAAAUGCGAUAAGUAAUGUGAAUUGCAGAAUUCAGUGAAUCAUCGAAUCUUUGAACGCACAUUGCGCCCGCCAGUAUUCUGGCGGGCAUGCCUGUCCGAGCGUCAUUACAACCCUCAGGCCCCCGGGCCUGGCGUUGGGGAUCGGCGGAGCCCUCUGGGCACACGCCGCCCCCUAAAUCUAUUGGCGGUCUCGCUGCAGCCCACUGCGUAGUAGCUAACACCUCGCAACUGGAAAGCGGCGCGGCCAUGCCGUAAAACACCCAACUUUAUGAUGUUGACCUCGGAUCAGGUAGGAAUACCCGCUGAACUUAAGCAUAUCAAUAAGCGGAGGAAAAGAAACCAACAGGGAUUGCCCUAGUAACGGCGAGUGAAGCGGCAACAGCUCAAAUUUGAAAUCUGGCUCUCGGGCCCGAGUUGUAAUUUGUAGAGGAUGCUUUUGGUGCGGUGCCUUCCGAGUUCCCUGGAACGGGACGCCAUAGAGGGUGAGAGCCCCGUCUGGUUGGAUGCCAAUCCUCUGUAAAGCUCCUUCGACGAGUCGAGUUGUUUGGGAAU
rnacentral:sRNA from 1 species